GAUGAUGUGGCCGAGUGGUUAAGGCGAUGGACGGCUAAUCUACUGAGGUUUCCCCGCGUGAGUUCGAAACUCAUCAAAAUGA
rnacentral:tRNA from 1 species